GUCAACGAUCAUACCGCGUUGUAAAGCACCAGUUCUCGUCCGAUCACUGAAGUUUUAAGCAACGUUGGGCACGGUUAGUACUUGGAUGGGUGACCGCUUGGGAACACCGUGUGUUGUUGACA